rnacentral:rRNA from 1 species
CACUGAUCGAGUCGUCCUGCGCGGAAGAUGUAACGGGGCUAAGCCAGUCACCGAAGCUGCGGAUAUGUCUUUGACAUAUGGUAGGAGAGCGUUCUGUAAGCCUGCGAAGGUGUCUUGUAAAGGAUGCUGGAGGUAUCAGAAGUGCGAAUGCUGACGUGAGUAACGACAAUGCGAGUGAAAAGCUCGCACGCCGGAAGACCAAGGGUUCCAGUCCAACGUUAAUCGGGGCUGGGUGAGUCGACCCCUAAGGCGAGGCCGAAAGGCGUAGUCGAUGGGAAAUCGGUUAAUAUUCCGAUACUUGUUUAUGAUGCGAUGGAGGGACGGAGAAGGUUAUGCCAGCUUGGCGAUGGUUGUCCAAGUGGAAGGAUGUAGUUAGGUUUAGUAGGCAAAUCCGCUAGACUAUUAAUGAGAUCUGAUAGCAAGCUGUACUUGUACAGCGAAGUGGCAAAUACCCUGCUUCCAGGAAAAGCUUCUAAGCGAUAGUCAUAAAGAAAUCGUACCCUAAACCGACACAGGU